rnacentral:tRNA from 1 species
GCCGGAGUGGUGAAAUUGGUAGACGCACUGGUUUCAGGGACCAGCGGGGGCAACCCCAUGCCGGUUCGAGUCCGGCCUCCGGCA